UGNGAGGCAAAGAGCUUGGGUGUUGGG
rnacentral:piRNA from 1 species